GAUGAACGCUGGCUACAGGCUUAACACAUGCAAGUCGAGGGGAAACGACGGGGAAGCUUGCUUCCCCGGGCGUCGACCGGCGCACGGGUGAGUAACGCGUAUCCAACCUGCCUCUGACUGAGGGAUAACCCGUCGAAAGUCGGCCUAAUACCUCAUGGCAUCGUCUGCGGGCAUCCAACGACGAUUAAAGAUUUCAUCGGUCAGGGAUGGGGAUGCGUCUGAUUAGCUAGGUGGCGGGGUAACGGCCCACCCAGGCGACGAUCAGUAGGGGUUCUGAGAGGAAGGUCCCCCACAUUGGAACUGAGACACGGUCCAAACUCCUACGGGAGGCAGCAGUGAGGAAUAUUGGUCAAUGGGCGAGAGCCUGAACCAGCCAAGUAGCGUGCAGGAUGACGGCCCUAUGGGUUGUAAACUGCUUUUAUGCGGGGAUAAAGUGAGGGACGUGUCCUUCAUUGCAGGUACCGCAUGAAUAAGGACCGGCUAAUUCCGUG
rnacentral:rRNA from 1 species